AAUUAUAAAGACUUAAACACUUGUUUACGCUACAACGUUUCGAUCGACGGUCUGCGGUCUGCGGAGUGCGGGGUGGGGAACGAGCCCAGCGACGCAGGCGGCGGCCACGGCGAGAC